rnacentral:misc_RNA from 1 species
AUCAUUCCAUUCAUCAGAAUUCCUUGGUUGCUCUUUCGUGGAACAUACAUCUGGUUUCUGGUGUUGAUGAUCCUCGAUUGAUUUCUGAAAACUUCUACUCAGAUUUGAAGUAGUUGAUUCAGCUGCACCCCGUUGACGCCAUGCUCCAUGCACUUUUCCCAACUUGUUCUGCCCGACGUCCCCAUUCCUGGAUUCCAUGGCAGCACUAAACAUCACAGUUGCUGUACCAUAGGUUUGGGAACUUUCAAUGCCCAAAGAACCAGACUCGGGCCUUUCAGCAGUUUCAUAUGAUGUAAUCUCAUUGCUUGAGGGAACAACUGCUUGAUGACUGCCACCUUGCUGAGAUAGUUCUUUGGCUACAUGCUUUGGAAUGUAUCUCUCCAUUUCCGCUCUCUUGUUUCUUGGAUUAUUCUGCACCUGUUGAUCACUCUUUGUGGACAGAACAGACUCAACUAAGCUAUUCUGAUUGGCUUCAUCAGAAACCUCAGUUUUAUGUUGUGAUCG